rnacentral:rRNA from 1 species
CAACUUUCAGCAACGGAUCUCUUGGCUCUUGCAUCGAUGAAGAACGCAGCGAAAUGCGAUAAGUAAUGUGAAUUGCAGAAUUCAGUGAAUCAUCGAAUCUUUGAACGCAUCUUGCGCUCCUUGGUAUUCUGAGGAGCAUGCCUGUUUGAGUGUCAUUA